CAAAAAAAAAAACUGGAACUUGAACAGCAGUCAGCAGGUUUUAGUAAUUCAGUUCUAUAUAGACAUGUAGGGCGAUCCUUUAAAAAAAAAAAAAACAGAGAACACAUAAAAACUACACUGUGCCAAAGACGGAAAAUAAAAAAUACUAAAAUUUAAAAAAUCUGAAAAAAUUUAUUGAAAAUAAAACAGCUGAGUCAAAGUCAGAAAUUAAGAAAAGGUUUUUCAGCUUUUCAAGAACACAAAAAUUGCUGUCUGGUUGUUUUUUUCAGUUGAUGUGUAAAUAACUCUGUUUCUUCUUUGAACCCUCAGCGGUUUAGUGAUUGACACAAAUAUGGGAACCUGCUGAAGGUGGAUUCAAACGGGAAUAUUUUAGCCUGCAGUCACGGCUUCUACUUCUACAAAGGGCAAGAAAUUCAAAGUUAUUAUCCCAACAACUUUAUUCAGAAAGGAGACACUGACCGCUUCCACAUCCUCAACACCCUUUUUAAUCUUCCAGGUACAAAUAACUUUUAUUGUCCUUUAUGAUAUUAUUAAAAAAAAUCACAAUAGUCAGACAGGCUUAAAUCACAUGUAUUCAUAUGAUGUUUUCUGUCAUUGACACUGACUGUAUGGAAUUAGUUUGUGUGAAAAUUGCUGGAAUAAUAAUAUCGCUCACUCACUAGUUCUCACUCACUCCAAUUAAGGGUCACGGGGGCGGGGCUGGAGCCUAUCCCACCAGUGGAAUAAUAAUAGAUAUUUUUAAAUCUACAGUACAAGAAGUAAUAACUACUCUUGUUAUUAUUUUAUUUGUGUGAGUCUGGAAUUAUGGGCCCAGAACACAUUAUUAUUGUGUAAACUGAUAUCAUGUUUGAUUUUCAUGUUUUUAAUAAUUGUGUUUUUAAUUUUUGUGUUUUAAUUUGGACUGCAUUGUAAAGAUUAUUUGAACAGAGUUGUACAAAGUAUUAUUUGUUAUUGUUAUUUUUUAAUUGUUGCAUUAUUAUUAUUAUUUAAAUACCUAUAAAUGGACACACGUAGGUAUAAGUUAAAUAUAUGUUAUUUGUAAAAUGAAGAAAACUUCCCUUUCUUAUAUUUCACAACUUGUGUGUACGAAAAAAUGUACGUAUUCAACCUAUCACAUUAAAAUUUAUUAAAAUUAAUUACACAAUUUUUAAUCCAAUACAUCAAAUAGCGAUGAUUCACUGAAGCCUCUUGGGGCUGCUCUAUACAUGAUGUCCUUUCAUGUUAUAAGUUUAUUCGCUGUAUUGUACGGUGGCCAAUAGGGGCCACAACAUUUCCAAAUUACGACAAUAGAAAGUACAGAAAACAUUUACGCAUCAAACAAACAAACAUUUGCAUCAACAUAAUAACAGGUUGUUCCAUUCAAAAAAUGUCUUGCAAAUUGAAAAACGCUUGCAAACACAGAACACGAAGAAAUGUCACCUACAGCAUGUUACAGAAAAUUCAGACGACAUGCGUGAAAUGAGAGACACUUUGCAAAGAUCCACAACACAUCAGAAAUUAUGAGAACACAAAAACAAGCUUCUGUCCAGAAGACGUUAUCUGACCUUUAUUCUUCAGUGUGUUGCAAAUUAAAUAACAAAAUGAAUAAAUACAUAGCUAGCAUAAGAGUAAAAUCACAAUAAGGCAAAUAAAUAAAAAUAAUUUAGUCAGUUCCGCUGAUCAGGUAGAGAUCACAAGUGGAGCGCUGCGAUGCAUGAGAUGGUCAAUCAGUAAAUGUUAUCAGGGCAGAAUCCUCUUUUUGGGUUGCUGGUACUUCUAUUAUGUUUUGAUGGUUUGUGGCUUUUUGGGUGUGAUGUGUGAAUUUGCAGUAGACGUGCUAUCAUAUAAAAUUGUUAUGUGUACUAUCGGUUCAAUUUGUUUGUGUCCUCUGUGUUUACAAGUAGGUUGUUUUUUCUUCAGUUAGCAAGACAUUUUUGAUAAACUACCUCUUGUUGAAUUGAUGCAGCUGGAGGUUCUGUUUAUAUUUGUAAGUAUUCUUUGCAUUUGCUAGUGUUGUGGCCCCUAUCGGCCACAAUAAUAUUAAUGGCAAAAAUGUGUAUCAUACUUUUCAGAAUGCUGUUAAACCUCACCUUAACCUUUAACCCUAAUUUCCACUCUACCUGUAACAAUACGUUGCUCUUCUGGAGAACACAUUUAACAAAUUAAAUUAUGUAAUUGUACUUUGCAGAGACAUACCUCUAUGCCUGCCUUGUGGAAUUUUUCACGAAUUCCCAGAGAUACAAAAACCUGUUGAAUGGUUACCAGCACGGUGACUUGUUUAUGUCCUUCAGAAGCAUGUUCCAGGAUGUCCGCGAUGCAAUGGACUACAUUCACAAUAGCGGAACUCUGAAAGAUGCAACACUCAAGAAUAUGGAUAAAUACGUUAUCAAAGAUGUGAGUAGUAAACUGAAAUGUUAUAGAUUUAACAAAUUGAUUGAACAAGUUUACUUUUACAAUCUGGUAUAUGUAUAUUAAAAUGUUGGAAAUCAAAUGCCUGAAUGCUAUAU